rnacentral:lncRNA from 1 species
GCAUGUGCUAUGGGCACUUGGAUAGGCAAGAUGGAUGGAUGGCCAGGGAGUGCAGAUGGGUCUCACUCUGUACCUCUGGCUGGUCUAGAAUUCUCUGUGUAGCCCGGUUGACCUCACACAUGAUGAGUCUCCUUGUGUUGUUAGUUUCCAAGCUCUAAGACUGCAGGUUUAGGUUCCCUGGCAAUCUCAACCACUCUCCACAUGGCACGGUAUAGUGACCUUGGGCCAUCCCAUUUCCCUCUUCCAACUGCCACGCCAUUUGUCAACAUCCUCGCUCAGCCGUUGCUCCUGGAAUGAAAUGCAAGGCUCCAGAUGUGGACCAGCAACUGCCAAGCUUGGAGGAAGCUACCACCUCCCCUGUCCUGCACUUUGAUUAAUUUAGCCCGAGAUUGCACCCUCACACCCUGCCUUGGCAGCUCCCCACAUGGCUGGCUCACAGGGCAUUUUGUCUGCUAAUCCAUCUAACCCCAUUACUGUCUACCCCACAAGUCUCCAUCUUGUCCGAGAGGAGAACGCCAUAGUCUUUACAAAACACCUGCCGAAACCCAGAUUUGCCACAUUCCUGGUGUACUGUCUGUCUAGAAGCAAAGAAAUCCAUCAGCUGGAAGUGGGAAUUUGUUUCGGUUGAACUUGCACUUGGUGAACCCCGGGAUAAUUCUUAGGGAUCACUCUUUGUUUUUUUCCUACAGGCCCAUGAACCAUCUACUCAAUAAUCUUUUUUUCACUGCCCUCUAUGGAGCUUCCUUCACCCAAGGUGCUUGCUCAGUGUCUGGACUGAGAAACGGUGACAGGCUACCUGAUCGAUCACUGUGCCCUGAGCUUUAUGGUGGUGUACGGAGGUUGCCCAGGGAAAAGCGAGAGGGGAGUGAGUCCGAGUGUCAAAGACUCAGGGAUGCCCAGGGAGGCCGUAAAUAGCGUGGCG